rnacentral:piRNA from 1 species
UUAUGGUAUCUGGCUUCUAACCUUCA